rnacentral:misc_RNA from 1 species
GAUGAAGAACGCAGCGAAAUGCGAUAAGUAAUGUGAAUUGCAGAAUUCAGUGAAUCAUCGAAUCUUUGAACGCACAUUGCGCCCGCCAGUAUUCUGGCGGGCAUGCCUGUUCGAGCGUCAUUAUCAACCCUCAAGCCCGGCUUGCCGUUGGGUCCCACCGUCGGACGACGGCGGUGGAUCCGAAAGAUAAUGGCAGAGUCUGCGGGACCCUGGAUGCAGCGAGCUUCUUUUCAGCACGCAUCGUAACGGCCUCGCGGGCUCCGUCUCAACCCGAAUCUCACUCUGGUUGACCUCGGAUCAGGUAGGGAUACCCGCUGAACUUAAGCAUAUCAAUAAGCGGAGGA